ACGGAAGGCAGCAGUGAGGAAUAUUGGUCAAUGGGCGGAAGCCUGAACCAGCCAAGUCGCGUGAAGGAUGAAGGUAUUAUGUAUUGUAAACUUCUUUAGCAGCAGAGAAAUAAGAGGGUCGUGACCCUUGAUGCUAGUAUGCUGAGAAUAAGCAUCGGCUAACUCCGUGCCAGCAGCCGCGGUAAUACGGAGGAUGCGAGCGUUAUCCGGAUUUAUUGGGUUUAAAGGGUGCGCAGGCGGUCUUUUAAGUCAGUGGUCAAACCGUGGUGCUCAACGCCAUCCCGCCAUUGAUACUGGGAGACUUGAUUGCGGUUGAGGUAGGCGGAAUUCGUCGUGUAGCGGUGAAAUGCAUAGAUAUGACGAAGAACACCGAUUGCGUAGGCAGCUUACCAAGCCGUAAAUGACGCUCAUGCACGAAAGUGCGGGGAUCGAACAGGAUUAGAUACCCUGGUA
rnacentral:rRNA from 1 species